rnacentral:tRNA from 1 species
GGGGGUGGUUGUCACCCGGUGGUGGCCGCGGUCUUCAAAACCGUUGUGUCGCUUCUCAGAAGCGACAGGUGGGUUCGACCCCCAUCCAUCCCC